GUUAGCCAUGCAUGUCUCAGUGCAAGCCAAAUUAAGGUGAAACCGCGAAUGGCUCAUUAAAUCAGUUAUGGUUCCUUAGAUCGUACCACUUUACUUGGAUAACUGUGGUAAUUCUAGAGCUAAUACAUGCAAACAGAGUCCCGACCAGAAGUGGAAGGGACGCUUUUAUUAGAUCAAAAUCAAUCGGUCGGCUCGUCCGGUCCGUUUGCCUUGGUGACUCUGAAUAACUUUGGGCUGAUCGCACGGUCCUCGUACCGGCGACGCAUCUUUCAAAUGUCUGCCUUAUCAACUGUCGAUGGUAGGUUCUGCGCCUACCAUGGUUGUAACGGGUAACGGGGAAUCAGGGUUCGAUUCCGGAGAGGGAGCCUGAGAAACGGCUACCACAUCCAAGGAAGGCAGCAGGCGCGCAAAUUACCCACUCCCGGCACGGGGAGGUAGUGACGAAAAAUAACGAUACGGGACUCAUCCGAGGCCCCGUAAUCGGAAUGAGUACACUUUAAAUCCUUUAACGAGUAUCCAUUGGAGGGCAAGUCUGGUGCCAGCAGCCGCGGUAAUUCCAGCUCCAAUAGCGUAUAUUAAAGUUGUUGCGGUUAAAAAGCUCGUAGUUGGAUUUGUGUCCCACGCUGUCGGUUCAUCGCUCGUCGGUGUCUAACUGGCAUGGUUCGUGGGACGUCCUGCCGGUGGUGGCGAGUCGAAAGCGUGCGGCCGCCGUGGUUUAUCCACGUGCGGUUCCUGCGCGCCGUAGGCGGACCCCGAUGAAAUCCUACCGCGGUGCUCUUCAUCGAGUGUCGAGGUGGGCCGGCACGUUUACUUUGAACAAAUUAGAGUGCUUAAAGCACGCCGGCUGCGCCUGAAUACUGUGUGCAUGGAAUAAUGGAAUAGGACCUCGGUUCUAUUUUGUUGGUUUUCGGAACCCGAGGUAAUGAUUAAUAGGGACAGGCGGGGGCAUUCGUAUUGCGACGUUAGAGUGAAAUUCUUGGAUCGUCGCAGACGGACCGAAGCGAAAGCAUUUGCCAAGUAAUGUUUUCAUUAAUCAAGAACGAAAGUUAGAGUU
rnacentral:rRNA from 1 species